UUGGAUCAGAUCGAUGGAGGUGAUGAUGCUGCUGGCGCUGAUUUUUCCUCCUCGAAAUGGUCGGCUCGGAGAUUGAACCAACGCAGCAGCUACUUCCGGAACAGGGAGAAAAGAGAGGAGGAAGAAACAAAAAUCAUCCUGUAAACAAGUCGCUGUGUUUUUUUUUCCUCCUCCGCGCCGGUUCCCUUCCUCUUCCCUCUGACUUCACCCCCACAACGCCAUCAGAUGAGCUCCAAUAACGCUUAUCAACGCCGCCCGACAUGUUCUGGAUGUGUUCUCUGGAAUGGAUUUAAAGCUGCGUGUUAUUUCACAGCAUUAAAAAAAGAAAGUGCAUAUUUUUACAAUAAUUAGGUUAUUUUUAUACAGACUGUCAAUGCUGAGGCUGUCAGAAUGGCAGGAUGUGGACAUUUCAUUUGUAUUUAUAAUAUAUAUACAUGUCUUAUUUUCUAUAUAUUGUUGUUAUAUUGUAUUAUGUACAUACUUUUACACACUAACUACUUCACUGUUUCUUUUUACUUGCUGACAACUUGUUUUAAUUGUGUGUGUAAUGUUUAGGUUUGUGGUUACAACUGUCUGACUGGUUGAUGGGAGGUCUGUAUGUUGUAGCUGGUAACUUAUAUAUUAAAUAUCAACACCAAUUUGUCUUUUUUAAAUAAAAUACCACACAAAUUCAUCAGAAAAGGGACAAUUUUCAUCAUAAAAUAGUAGAAAUAUUUGCUUCCAGGUAUUUUUCUUUUAUUAUUCACAUUAAAGUUCUAAUACGUAACAUUUCUACAUUAAAAUAUCUAUAAACUCUAAACCUA